AGUGAACGCUGGCGGUAGGCCUAACACAUGCAAGUCGAACGGCAGCACAGGAGAGCUUGCUCUCUGGGUGGCGAGUGGCGGACGGGUGAGGAAUACAUCGGAAUCUACUUUUUCGUGGGGGAUAACGUAGGGAAACUUACGCCAAUACCGCAUACGACCUACGGGUGAAAGCAGGGGAUCUUCGGACCUUGCGCGAUUGAAUGAGGCGAUGUCGGAUUAGCUAGUUGGCGGGGUAAAGGCCCACCAAGGCGACGAUCCGUAGCUGGUCUGAGAGGAUGAUCAGCCACACUGGAACUGAGACACGGUCCAGACUCCUACGGGAGGCAGCAGUGGGGAAUAUUGGACAAUGGGCGCAAGCCUGAUCCAGCCAUACCGCGUGGGUGAAGAAGGCCUUCGGGUUGUAAAGCCCUUUUGUUGGGAAAGAAAUCCAGCUGGUUAAUACCCGGUUGGGAUGACGGUACCCAAAGAAUAAGCACCGGCUAACUUCGUGCCAGCCGCCGCGGUAA
rnacentral:rRNA from 1 species